UAAUUUUUUUUAAAAACUACCAAUAAUGCAAAACAAUUUGCAUUGAUAACUUUUUUAAAACUCCUUUUGUUCUGCGAUUUAGAAUGAAUAAUCUGCCGUAGAAAUUCUGUCCUUCUGUGAGUGUUUUCCAUCAUACCCCAUACGGCAGCAUUUUUCACACCGUUCAGUAUUUCUGUGUUUUUUACUCAAUCAUUAGCGAAGUAUUUAUUUUAGUUUCGUUUUCUUUUGAUCCUUCAGAAUCAUUUGACCGUGUAAAUUCCCUAAUCUGAACUCUCUUUCAUUAUGUAUAAAUCAUAGCAUAUGUCGUUGCGGGUCAGAACCAAUGCUUACCAUCCCCAUGAAUAUGCACAAAAUAACUUCUUGACCAGACUGGACAUCUGCUGAAUUGUUCCUGUGAUUAUUCCUGUAUAUUGCAGUGUCAGGAAGUCAUUACAUCAGGAUAUGGAGGAGCAACUUUUAACUGUGCGCGUUAUGCGCCUAUCGAAGCCAACACUAAGCACACCUAUCAUCGUAACAUCUGAUCCUAAGGACCUUCCUGGUAAUCUUCUGAAUAAUGCCUUAAAACAUGAUCCUACAGCUGUGCCUGGCACUGAAACCCUAGCAGCAGGCCAGUUUCUCUCCAUCACUCAAAAUUUUGGAAAUAUAUAUUUAGGUGAAACUUUCUCAGGUUAUAUUUGUGUUGUGAACACAAGUAGUCAAACUGUUACUGGAGUUUCAAUGAAGGUAGACCUUCAAACUACCUCUGAGAGAAUUCCACUAGUUGGUUACCGCGCAGGUGUUAAACCCAAGGAUCUUUUACCUGGAGACACCUUAGAAGAAGUAAUCCAUCAUGAUGUCCGAGAGCUUGGUCUAACUAUGCUGAUCUGUGAUGUUAGCUAUUCUAGUACGUUUUCAUUUAGAAAAUGUUACAAAUUUCCCGUACUCAAACCUUUGAAUAUAACCACUAAGUUUUAUACAGCUGAGGCUGAUCGCAUAUUUCUAGAGGCUCAAAUACAAAAUAUCACUACUGGUCCUAUUUGUCUCGAAAAAGUGUCCCUGGAAUCUUCAGACUUAUUCAAAGUUCUAAACUUAAACUUACUGGAGAAUGGUGACUCAGUGUUUGGCCAUAUAAACAUGAUGCCCGUGCAAACAACUCGUCAGUUCCUGUACUGCCUGCUCCCACAACCCGCUUUGCUUGCUGAUCAGAAAUUACUAAAUGGUGCUACAAAUAUAGGUAAAUUGGACAUUGUAUGGCGAUCCAACUUGGGUGAAAAAGGCAGGCUGCAAGUAUGUCAACUGGAUAGGCAGGUUCCUGCUUAUAGGGAUAUGCAUUUAUCCAUCACUGAACUGCCAAAUAUUGUUCAAUUAGAAAAACCAUUCAACUUUAAGUGUCGCAUCACGAACACUAGUGAGAGAUUAAUGAAUCUAGUCUUAAAUUUAUUACCAGUCACUGGUUUAGCUUGGAGAGGAGUCUCAGGAAAACAUCUUGGUCCACUAGAACCCAACAAAAAUCUAGAAAUUCCCCUCUCUCUUGUACCUCUUUCAACCGGAUUGUUGUUCAUCUCUGGAAUUCAAAUAGUGGAUCGAAACUCCAAGGAGCCAUUUGUACAUGAUGAAAUAGCCAAAAUAUUUGUCAUUCAAGAUGAAAUUGCUGCAGACUCAUAGGUUUUUUCUUGUUUUUAUCUAAGCUUAAAGGAGAUUCAAUGGUCAUUCAUCACUUAAAAUAGAAAUCUUGACAAGGUAUGAAUUAAAGCAUUGCACAAUAUGCUUUUUCUUCAAAAUAUCUUGAGGAAAAAUUAUCACGCCCGGGAAAAUCUGUAAAUCCACUCCCAAACAAGGUACAUACAAGUGUUUCCAAUUAACAUUGGUCAAACGGUUAAAAAUAUAAAUGACGUUCUUUGCAUAAUCUAUUUUCCAUUUGAUGUGUGUCAGAAACACUUGUCAAUAUCAUCGCUCCUCUGGCGUAAGGCGUAUCUGGAUUACUGCAUGAGCUGCAGGAAGUAUGGAUUUACAUGUAAAUUAGGGCUCAUGUGGAAAGUAAAAUACGCCCGUUACGUCAGAGGGGCGACGAUAUGUACCUUGUCAAGGAGUUGAUUUCCAGACUUCUUGUUGUGAAAAUGUCUAUGUCAGAUUUUGAAGAGACAUCAUGUGACGUUCUCUCUAGUCCAUAUCUUGUUUGGUGGCAUAUUGCUUCACUGAGGUCUUUCUACAACGAUUUUUCCCUGUAUUUUUUAUUGUUUAAUUUAUUUACAUACAGAGGAUCUCAGUCACUCCAAGAGGCGUCAUGUUUUGACG